rnacentral:rRNA from 1 species
UACGUAGGGGGCUAGCGUUGUCCGGAAUCAUUGGGCGUAAAGCGCGUGUAGGCGGUCCGGUAAGUCCGCUGUGAAAGUCGGGGGCUCAACCCUCGGAUGCCGGUGGAUACUGUCGGGCUUGAGUACGGAAGAGGCGAGUGGAAUUCCUGGUGUAGCGGUGAAAUGCGUAGAUAUUGGGAGGAACACCAGUGGCGAAGGCGGCUCACUGGACCGGUACUGACGCUGAUGCGCGAAAGCGUGGGGAGCAAACAGG